CCUAAAUGUCAAGCGUUCGUGAAGACGCGAGCAAAGUGAAAAAUUAAUUUCUAAAAUUACACGUUGGUUGAACGUAAUCGAAGAAAGCGAUCGCGCGACGCGACGUAUCGUCAACGAGAGACAAAGAAGAGGGUAGAAACAGCCAGCAGCCGAUACGAGGAGGAACGAUAAAGUGGUCGAAGGCAAAAGACACGGCGUAAUGUCCCGCAGAAAGCGAACAUUGUAUCGCGUAGCGAAAGGGUUUUAAUUAACGAAGACGAAGGGGAAAGAAUAUCGGCGAUUUAUUGGACGAUCGUUUUAUUCGCACGAAAUAACGAGAGGAAGAAAGAAGUUAAUUUAACCGGACGGUAAAAGCCGGCGAUGCGAGCGGAAUAAUUAUAUCAGAUUUAUUAUCAAACUCGGUACAACCGCGCGAACCCUUAGAUAAUAGGCUUUUUACGACUCGGUCGCGCGAACUACCCGAUUCGAAAGUUACGAUACUGUAAAGCUCUCUUUACGAGGCCAUUACCGGGAGCUGUUACUCAUAUUUUUUCCUCAAACGAGUCGAGAGACACUUCCAGCAAUAUCAUCGCGGAAUGACCGAAAUUCCUGAUUUAACCAGAAUUAAAUAUUAAUUCCACCUAUUGUUGUUUUUCCAGCGACGUAAAAAAAAUAUUUCCAUCUUUUCCCACCCUUCGUCUCUCUUCGGAUACGAUCG
rnacentral:misc_RNA from 1 species